UACGAAGGGGGCUAGCGUUGCUCGGAAUCACUGGGCGUAAAGCGCACGUAGGCGGAUUGUUAAGUCAGGGGGUGAAAUCCUGGAGCUCAACUCCAGAACUGCCUUUGAUACUGGCGAUCUCGAGUCCGGGAGAGGAUGGUGGAAUUCCCAGUGUAGAGGUGAAAUUCGUAGAUAUUGGGAAGAACACCGAUGGCGAAGGCAGCCAUCUGGACCGACACUGACGCUGAGGCGCGAAAGCGUGGGGAGCAAACAGG
rnacentral:rRNA from 1 species